rnacentral:rRNA from 1 species
AGUAAUGUAUGGGGAUCUGCCCGAUAGAGGGGAAUAACUACUGGAAACGGUGGCUAAUACCGCAUAAUGUCUACGGACCAAAGCAGGGGCUCUUCGGACCUUGCACUAUCGGAUGAACCCAUAUGGGAUUAGCUAGUAGGUGGGGUAAAGGCUCACCUAGGCGACGAUCUCUAGCUGGUCUGAGAGGAUGAUCAGCCACACUGGGACUGGGACACGGCCCAG